rnacentral:rRNA from 1 species
GAUGAACGCUGGCGGCGUGCUUAACACAUGCAAGUCGAGCGAGUGAGUUCUUCGGAACGAUCUAGCGGCGGACGGGUGAGUAACACGUGGGCAACCUGCCUCAUAGGGGGGAAUAGCCUCCCGAAAGGGAGAUUAAUACCGCAUAAAAUUAUCGAGUGGCAUCACAUGAUGAUCAAAGGAGUAAUACGCUACGAGAUGGGCCCGCGGUGCAUUAGCUAGUUUGUGAGGUAACGGCUCACCAAGGCGACGCUGCGUAGACGAGCUGAGAGGGUGAUCGGCCACAUGGGUACUGAGACACGGCCCAGACUCCUACGGGAGGCAGCAGUGGGGAAUAUUGCACAAUGGGGGAAACCCUGAUGCAGCAACGCCGCGUGAGUGAUGAAGGUCUUCGGAUUGUAAAGCUCUGUCUUUGGGGACGAUAAUGACGGUACCCAAGGAGGGAGCCACGGCUAACUACGUGCCAGCCGCCGCAGUAA